CUAUCUGUCGGUUUUAUUGGGCGUAUCGCGAGCGCAGGGGUUGAUAAGUCUGAAGUUAAAGGCUGUGGUCAACCAUAGUUCGCUUUGGAAACUGUCAAACUUGAGUGCAGAAGGGGAGAGUGGAAUUCCAUGUGUAGCGGUGAAAUGCGUAGAUAUAUGGAGGAACACCGGUGGCGAAAGCGGCUCUCUGGUCUGUAACUGACGCUGAGGCUCGAAAGCGUGGGGAGCGAACAGGAUUAGAUACGCUGGUAGUCCACGCCGUAAACGAUGAGUGCUAGGUGUUGGAUCCUUUCCGGGAUUCAGUGCCGCAGCUAACGCAUUAAGCACUCCGCCUGAUCUGUACGACCGCAAUCUGGAUACUCAGAGCAAUUGACGGGGGCCCGCACAAGCGCGGAAGCAUGUGGUUUAUUUCGAAGCAGCGCGAAGCACCUUACCAGGUCUUGACAUCCCGAUGCUAUCUCUAGAGAUAGAAAGUUACUUCGUUACAUCGGUGACAGGUGGUGCAUGGCUUGUCGUCAGCUCGUGUCGUGAGAUGAUGGGUUAAGUCCCUGCAACGAGCGCACCUCUUAUUGUUAGCUGCCAUCAUUCAGUUGGAGCACUCUAGCGAGACUGCGGCCAUAAACCGAGUAAGUUGGGAUGACGUCAAAUCAUCAUGCCCCUUUAUGACCUGGCUACACACGUGCUACAAUGAUGGUACAACGAGUGCUAGUCGUGACGCAAGCUAAUCUCUCACAGCAAUCUCAGUCGGAAUGAAGCUGCAACUCGCUUAGUGAAGUCGAAAUAAAUAAUAAUCGCGAUCAG
rnacentral:rRNA from 1 species